rnacentral:rRNA from 1 species
CAGCACCUCAAGUGGUCAGGAUGAUUAUUGGGCCUAAAGCAUCCGUAGCCGGCGCUGUAAGUUUUCGGUUAAAUCUGUACGCUCAACGUACAGGCUGCCGGGAAUACUGCAGCGCUAGGGAGUGGGAGAGGUAGACGGCACUCGGUAGGAAGGGGUAAAAUCCUUUGAUCUAUUGAUGACCACCUGUGGCGAAGGCGGUCUACCAGAACACGUCCGACGGUGAGGGAUGAAAGCUGGGGGAGCAAACCGGAUUAGAUACCCGAGUAGUCC